AUAUAUAGUAGAUCUUGUGUGCUAUUAGGAGCAGAAAAUUUUUAUACUAUUUACAGUAAGAUUAAUAUCUCUGAUCGAAAAUUUUAGUGUUAUAUCACCACUUUUUGUGAGAUUUUUAUUUUCAGCCGUUGAUUUUGAAUCAUUUCGAACGCCAGGUAAAUGAUAUAAAAAAAUCAUAAAAUUUAUUUUCUAAAUACUUCAAAUACGCUAGAUCAAGUCUAACGGAGUCGAUCGUCGAUUCGGAAGCUCCAUGAUCGAAAACGGCUUAGGAGCACGGAGGGCUCCGUGCUCCUAAUAGCACACAAGACCUACUAUAUAUAUAUAGAGAGAGAACUAGACUGGAAUACUAUCAAUAGCACAAAAUUAUUGGUGCUAUUGAUUUUUUAGCCCUUUGCUUGAGAAAUGGAUGAUUAGGAUGAUGUGGGUCCCCUAAGGUUGAGUGAGUGGUUGGUUGAAUAGUAUAAUCUAACGGGUAAAAAUAAUCAGAGGAUUAAAUCUAACGGUGGAAAACUCGAUAACACCAAAUCAGAAUUAUCCCAAAUAAAUUAUUGUAUCCAUAUACCUUUCCAUGCAUAUUUGAUCCCUCAUUUCCCAGUAUUGGUAAUGGGGUGAUGUCUCAUUGGACAAAAGCUUUAUUUUUACAUUAUCAACAAAUUGAUGUCACUGACUGUCCCUAGAGCAAGUGAUAAUGGACUUGGUGGUUGGUACCCGAGGUCCCAAGUUCAAAUUCUAGUUGAUUUACAUUUCUAACUAAGUUUAUUUCUAAAUAAAAUAAAUGAAGCGGGUAGCGUGCUACCUAUCUUUCACGCCCUUGUGCGUUCACUUAACUUCUCUUUUGUCCUUUUUUAUUU
rnacentral:lncRNA from 1 species